rnacentral:rRNA from 1 species
UGACGAGUGGCGAACGGGUGAGUAAUGCAUCGGAACGUGCCCAGUCGUGGGGGAUAACGCAGCGAAAGCUGUGCUAAUACCGCAUACGAUCUAUGGAUGAAAGCGGGGGAUCGCAAGACCUCGCGCGAUUGGAGCGGCCGAUGUCAGAUUAGCUAGUUGGUGGGGUAAAGGCCCACCAAGGCGACGAUCUGUAGCUGGUCUGAGAGGACGACCAGCCACACUGGGACUGAGACACGGCCCAGACUCCUACGGGAGGCAGCAGUGGGGAAUUUUGGACAAUGGGCGCAAGCCUGAUCCAGCAAUGCCGCGUGCAGGAAGAAGGCCUUCGGGUUGUAAACUGCUUUUGUACGGAACGAAAAGGUCUGGGUUAAUACCCUGGGCUCAUGACGGUACCGUAAGAAUAAGC